GCAGAUGUAGUACAAUGGUUCGUGCGUCGGCUUCCCAAGCCGAAAAUGCGGGUUCGAUUCCCGUCAUCUGCU
rnacentral:tRNA from 1 species